rnacentral:rRNA from 1 species
UACGUAGGGUGCAAGCGUUAAUCGGAAUUACUGGGCGUAAAGCGUGCGCAGGCGGUUUUGUAAGUCAGAUGUGAAAUCCCCGGGCUUAACCUGGGAACUGCGUUUGAAACUACAAGGCUAGAGUGUGGCAGAGGGGGGUGGAAUUCCACGUGUAGCAGUGAAAUGCGUAGAGAUGUGGAGGAAUACCGAUGGCGAAGGCAGCCCCCUGGGAUAAUACUGACGCUCAUGCACGAAAGCGUGGGGAGCAAACAGG